rnacentral:rRNA from 1 species
GAUGAACGCUGGCGGCGUGCCUAAUACAUGCAAGUCGAACGAAACUUCUUUAUCACCGAGUGCUUGCACUCACCGAUAAAGAGUUGAGUGGCGAACGGGUGAGUAACACGUGGGCAACCUGCCCAAAAGAGGGGGAUAACACUUUGAAACAGGUUCUAAUACCGCAUAACCAUAGUUACCGCAUGGUAACUAUGUAAAAGGUGGCUAUACUACCGCUUUUGGAUGGGCCCGCGGCGCAUUAGCUAGUUGGUAGGGUAAAGGCUUACCAAGGCAAUGAUGCGUAGCCGAAUUGAGAGGUUGAUCGGCCACAUUGGGACUGAGACACGGCCCAAACUCCUACGGGAGGCAGCAGUAGGGAAUCUUCCACAAUGGGCGAAAGCCUGAUGGAGCAACGCCGCGUGGGUGAAGAAGGUCUUCGGAUCGUAAAACCCUGUUGUUAGAGAAGAAAGUGCGUGAGAGUAACUGUUCACGUUUCGACGGUAUCUAACCAGAAAGCCACGGCUAACUACGUG